GCCAAAGUAGCUCAGUUGGCAGAGCGGCACACUCGUAAUGUGCAGGUCUGGAGUUCGAUUCUCCACUUUGGCU
rnacentral:tRNA from 1 species